AAGACAUGCAAAAUAUGAACACAACACAACAGAAUAGUAUGAAUGCUAGUAACAAAAAAAAAACGCAAAAUAAAUAAAGAGCACAGGUCAGUUCAGGCAGUUACAUAUUUUUUCGUGAAAUAUAAAAAAUAUAUAUUAUUAUUAUAACAAGACUUAAUAUGCGACUUUAAUUUCGGUUAAUCGUAUUUUUUGUUUCUAAGUAAUUUUAAGUAACUGUUCCUGGUUUACGAGUUUGUGAAUCUUUUUAACUGACUCAUUUAAACGAACCGGUUCCAGAGCCAUUUGUUCGCGAAUCGCACAUCAGGAUAGCUUUGCGUGAAACUGUGUCGCGCGGAUUGUUUGUGGAAAGUUUUCCGACUUUCUCAAUUUUAAGGGAUCGUCGCGCACUUUUACUUUUUGCGGUUGCGAACAUUUUAGUCUUUUAGCUUGUCUGGAAGCUUGUGAAUGACAACAACUCUGACUGAACGAAAACAGACUCGUUUGACUCAACUAUUCGGAGACAAAAAAUAGAAAGUCACGUGGGACUGGAUGGACAUGCAUAGCCUGGAUGCACUGCAAGUCGCUUUGCUUUGAUAAAAGCGUCUGCUAAAUGCAUAAAUGUAAAUGAAACCAUUUCUCGUUUUCCUCGUUGAGCAAUGUAAGAACACAUCAGCUGUCAGACAAAUCAUUCUCUCCUUUUGUGUGUCACUGUCACAUCAGCUCAGUUGAUCUUUAAGACAGUUACUAUGAAUAUAACAUCUACUGCUGUGAAGAGAGGAGAACCAGAAGAAGACCAGAAAAUCCGGUUCGCAGAAGUGUGGAGUCCCUCCCAAUGCAUCUUUCUCAGAGGCAUCAUGGGCAGGGACGCACACUGAAGAACAAGGUGUGCUGGUUUUUGGCAGAUGUUUCAGCACAAGGAGCAGAUCAGCUAUUGGGAAAUCACAUUUCUGGGUGGUGGUGACAAACAGUGAGGAAAGACAUAUUAUUGUUUAUGAUUUCCAGUGAACAGUUGCAGAGACUUUAUUCCGCUAUUACUUGUGUGAAUUUGUAGUUGUCUUCCAAUUUGCUCUGCACAAAUUGAUUUUCAUACUAUUUUUGUCUUUGUUCACAAGUACAAAAUAUCUGAACAUGAUUAAAUUAAGAUACAUGUACUGAGUCUUGUUUUCUGUUAAAUUAAACAUUAAAGAGUAAGAAAAAUUAAUGUUUUCUUUUUGCUUCUCAAGUGAAUGUAUCUUAAUGUAACAAAAUUCAGUGUGGAUAGAACUGUUCCUAGUGAGCUCCCACCGUAGGCUGUAUUUGAAGAAAUGUGGAAUUGUCCUAUUAUUUAAGAAACUUAAUUAUCCUGAAAAAAAAAAUCGUAACAUGUUAAGCCUGUUUACGGAAAAGGCAAUUUCAUAAAGCAUUUUUGAAGAAAAAAAAAAUUAAAUUAUAAAUUUAAAGUUGGUAUAAUUUUGAGUUUGAUUUAUUUUAAUUUUUACUUUUUACAUUUUUUUUUACUCCAAUUAAAUAAUUAUAUAUAAUAAGUAUUUAACUGAAAAAAAAUAUUGAAUUUAUAUAUAUUUAAUAUAUUUAUAUUGAACAGCGGGUUGCUAAUGCAACAUUUCUCAUUUUCAUUUAGUUUAACUAGAUGUUCUAAAAUAAAAUGAAAAUGAAAUGAAUAAAAAUAUAUAGACACAUAUUAACAAAAAAAAGAAUAAAAAUGUAGAAAAAAAAAAACUAAAACUUUAAACUUAAAUACAAAAAGAAAAAAUAGUAGGAAAAAAAAGCUUACAAAAAUAUUAAUUUUUAUAUAUAUUUAAUAUAUUUAUAUUGAACAGCGGGUUGCUAAUGCAACAUUUCUCAUUUUCAUUUAGUUUAACUAGAUGUUACUAAAAUAAAAUGAAAAUGAAAUGAAAUAAAAAUAUAUAGACACAUAUUAACAAAAAAAAGAAUAAAAAUGUAGAAAAAAAAACUAAAACUUUAAACUUAAAUCAAAAAGAAAAAAUAGUGGAAAAAAAGCUUACAAAAUAUUAUUAAAAUAGUAUAAUAAUAUCCCAGUGAUACUAAAAUAACACUGGUAGCUUAUUCGCUGCAUGAUUUGUACUUCAGACAUGAAUGAGACCUCAAAUUUCAUGACUUUUAUGAAUAUUUGUGCAGUUUUCUAAGGAGUCAGUUGUUUUGGUGGAUGAUAAAACGGGCGGUAACUGCACUGCAAUGCCCUGCCAGCCACCCACAACACCCUAACACUGCAGCGGGGAGUUCUGCAAACAUCGCUCGCGUUUUCAUCUGAAAAUAGACUGAUAUAGUUCUCACAUGAUUGCUCCCAGCAUUUAAACCCAGCCGGUGUGUCGCAUAGCGUCCUCAAUAACGGCAGAAGUAUGCGGCGCGUGAGAGAGUUCAGGUCUGAACGUGUCAAGCUGUGACAUGUUUUGCUGAAUUUGCACAGUAGGUUUAAUAAGGCAAGAUGUGUAACCCUUUACAGGCAGCAUGAGACAAACAAAGCCCUUAAUUCCUCUUAAUCAGCCGAAAGGAUUUACAAAACCAGAGAAAACAAAUGUUACCGGAUGUUCCCAAAAUACGUGGA
rnacentral:lncRNA from 1 species